rnacentral:rRNA from 1 species
CCUACGGGUGGCAGCAGUGGGGAAUAUUGGGCAAUGGAGGAAACUCUGACCCAGCAAUGCCGCGUGAAUGAUGAAGGUCUUCGGAUUGUAAAGUUCUGUAAUGAGGGAUGAAUAAAAUGACGGUACCUGAAGAAUAAGGUACGGCUAACUACGUGCCAGCAGCCGCGGUAAUACGUAGGGAGCAAGCGUUGUUCGGAAUGACUGGGCGUAAAGGGUGCGUAGGCGGUUUUACAAGUUAGAAGUGAAAUACCCAGGGCUCAACUCGGGCGCUACUUCCAAAACUAUAAGACUGGAGUGCAGGAGGGGUUAGUGGAAUUCCUAGUGUAGCGGUGGAAUGCGUAGAUAUUAGGAGGAACACCAGGGGCGAAGGCGGCUAACUGGACUGCAACUGACGCUGAGGCACGAAAGUGUGGGGAGCAAACAGGAUUAGAUACCCGUGUAGUC